UCAGAUUUUGGACUACGAUCG
ensembl:piRNA 21ur-2818 ncRNA